CUUCUGCAAGGAUGUAGCCGUCAGCUGGAUGAAUGUAGCGAUUUGACUUAAGGUGUUUACACACAUUUCAUUGUUUUUUGUCAGAAUGUAUGAACAUGGCGAUGGGGAUCUAGAGGAGAGUUUAUCUGGCACUUUCAGACCAUCAUUUGCUCUGGGUAGAGGACUGCCAGGCUGGAUAUCACUGAAUCCACCUCAGCCGGGCAGACUGACCUCUCUGCGCUCCAGACACUUGACCCUGGGUGGAUAUAAGAAGGUUGCACCUUGUUCUGUUUUCUGCUACUCUCAGCUUUCUAUUAAACAUAAAAGAUAAGACCUUCGUACCAAAUGUUCACUCCGUUCGCAAAACUAAAGAUGACUGCCUUUACAUUGCACACGUUUUCUGGAGGUUACAGGAGGAAACUCACAUUGCACCAAAGAAAGAGAGGAGAGAGCAAGAAGACAGGCAAAGAGAGAGACGGCGACGAGAAAAGCCACAGACUAUUUAGUCUCACUCCGUCUUUGAGCAGGGCACUGCAGACACCUAUAGGAAACUGCAUACAGCGCACUUAUACAACACUAACUUAUGGUGGAACAAUGAAAAUUAAAUAGAAAAUCAAAUGCUGAAGCACUAAUGCAAUUUACGGGUGCUUGUUCUUAUUAAGUUGUAGGUAAUUGGGGUGACUAAGCUUAGUGACUGUGGCCCCGCACUUGUCACAAAAUGCAUUAAAAAGGAGAAGAAGAAUACUGAGGACGAUGAUAACUAAAUUGUACAAAAACUCCAACGAGAUGAUGUAAACAAAGUCACAACACAGUGACUCUUUAUUUUUCUUUUAGCUAGUCUGAUGUACUUUGAAGUUAAUCACUAACAUUUUAUUGAUUUUUUGUUGGUUUGACUGCAUAGUUUUUGGAUUAAAAAAUGAUCCAAAGCAAAGACCAAUAAGACUUCCACUCCAACAGUCAUGCAACAUUUUGUCUACAGAGGCAGCUAAAACAUGCAAGUUAUAGUUUAUGCUAAUGGUAAUUUUAUAUGGCUAGUUAGGUAUUGAUAAUUUGUUUAAAGUCCUCAAGAAAUGGCUUGACAAGUGCUGUUUUGUUUCCUAUCUUGAUGUAGCUCCAAUUGAAACAGGAAGUUUGGGAUUAAAAUUCGUAUUUACAUUAGGGCUGGGCAAUAUGGCAAAAAAAUAAAAAAAAUAUCGAUUUUCUUCAAACUUCAGAUUUUCAAUUCGAUUUUCCUAUAUUUAAAGGUAUUUUUCCAAAAAGUAACCCUAACAUGAUUAAAAUAACAUGUUCCUUAUAAGUUUUUUUUGUUUGUUUUUUGUCAAUAUGGAAAACAAAAGUGAACAGAAAUGCACAAAAAAAGUGCACCACUGAAAGUUGUCAACAGUGUAAAAAUAAAAUAAAUUAAAAUCUAAUUUAUUUAAAAUAACACUGAUGUUCAGAAAUAAUAGUAUAAAAUAAUAAAACUACAAAAUACCUCAAAGCUAAUUUAGGUAUUAUUUUUAUCUAAAUCAAGUCCAUCUAGAAAUCAUUAUCUAGAAAUUGUCAUGUUUAUCUAGAAAAUAUUUUUAGUAUAUCAAUCAAUUUGUAUGUACAACCAUAAACACCUGCAGAUAGAGUCCAGAUAUCAGAAAAAUCUGUGUGAAAAACAGAAGGAAAUUGAUAUUCAAGAAAACUUCUCCCCUCUGUCAUAGCCCUCAGAUCUCAUUUGCACUUAAAACAUUUUCAAAUUCAGCAUGUCAAGACUCGUCACACUAGGUUUUGACGUCAGUGAUACCCAACACCAUUGGUUCUCAAACAUCUUGUUGCCAAACACAUUACAAAGUUUGAAUAUAUGGAAGCAUGAAUAAGAUUUGAGAGCUUCAGCAGUGGGGAAGAUUUUCAGUGAAAUUAUUCUGAGAUUCUUCAAAAGAUCAGCUUUUGUGUUCCAGAGAAGAAAUAAAGUAAUAUGUAUUUUGAACAAUAUGAGCAACACUAAAUGACAGAAUUUUCAUUUUUAUGCUGAGCUAUUCCUUUAAAAGGACAGUUCACCCAAAAAUGAAAUUUC